GACGAACGCUGGCGGCGUGCUUAACACAUGCAAGUCGAACGGAAAGGCCCUGCUUUUGUGGGGUGCUCGAGUGGCGAACGGGUGAGUAACACGUGAGUAACCUGCCCUUGACUUUGGGAUAACUUCAGGAAACUGGGGCUAAUACCGGAUAGGAGCUCCUGCUGCAUGGUGGGGGUUGGAAAGUUUCGGCGGUUGGGGAUGGACUGGCGGCUUAUCAGCUUGUUGGUGGGGUAGUGGCUUACCAAGGCUUUGACGGCUAGCCGGCCUGAGAGGGUGACCGGGCACAUUGGGACUGAGGUAGGGCCCAGACGGCAACGGGAGGCAGCAGUGGGGAAUAUUGCACAAUGGGCGGAAGCCUGAUGCAGCAACGCCGCGUGCGGGAUGACGGCCUUCGGGUUGGAAACCGCCUUCGCCUGUGACGAAGCGUGAGUGACGGUAAUGGGUAAAGAAGCACCGGCUAACUACGUG
rnacentral:rRNA from 1 species